UUUUUCUUCUUCGGCUGCCUUAUCCUCUUCUUCUUCCAGCCAUCGUCUACAUCCGUCGCUGGAUUUUUUUUCCCCUGCGCCGCUCAUCUGCUGUUCUUAUCCCAUGCCGCCGUUCGCUGGCCGCGUGUACUCUGGGGUCGUCGUGCUGGCCGCCUCCCUCGUCUUCUCCUCAGGCCCUCCCGCGCUCUCCCUGCCUUCUGCACGCGCGCAGCUCGCCCCAGAUCCUCCCAGCCAUGACGCGCGCUUCCCUGUGCCCCGCGUUCCUUCUCUGCACUGCUUCCUCUGCUCCAUCUUCAAGCACGCCGCGCUCCAAAUCGCCUGCUGUUCCUCUUCCCCAGCCAUGGCCGCGCCUGGCUCGCCGGCGUUCAGGCCGCGGCUUCCUCCUCCAACUCCGGUCGGCCAAGAGCCUAGCUGCCCCCUUGCUUCUCUCCCUCCAUUUCCCAGCAGCGCCCUGUCCCUGUCGAAGCCCUUCUAUGGCGCGCGUGGAUUUCUCCUCCUCCAUCCCCAGCUAGCCUGCGAGCUCCUCCCUCCUCCCUGCAUCCAUGGAUCUCGGCGCCCAUCUCCAUGGCUCGCCCUGCGUUUAGCCGCCGCGCCCGGUUCCGAGUCCCUUUCCUGGCCGAGUUCCCUGCUCCAUCUCUGCCCUCUGCCGGCGCUCCAGCUCCUCCAUCCAUGGCCAUGCCUGCUGCUCGUCGGUGCUCGCCGCGGGAGACGGCGCUUGGUCGUCUAACCUUCCUGCUCCUCCCUGCUGUCGUGUCCCUGGCUCCUGCUCCACUCGUUGCGUGCGGCUGCGCGCUGCCCAGAUGGCCGUCUGUCCUUCCGUGUCACGCCUAGCUCCAGCUCGGUCUCUGCUCGAUGCCCAGCGUCACGCAGCACGGCUCGGCCCGACGGCAUAGAGUGUCUCGUCAUCGCCGGACUUGUCUCGCCGACCAUCGUGGAGUUGUUAUUUCCUGCUACGCCGUGACAUCGUCGAGCUCCGGUGUUUAGUGUCGAGGUCGCUGCGUCGUUGUCGCUCUGACUUCCGUGUCCUCACGCGGUAUGCGGCGGUUGUGUUCACAUCCGCGGCAUCAGCAUCCCCAUCGCCGUUGAACUCCCAGACAUGUUCCUCUCUGUUCGCUUGUCCUCAGUUCCGGUCUGAUCUCGCGCGCGUGAUUUUGAAACUCAGCGCGAUCGUCGUGUCGCGAUGUGUGCCGAUAUUCUCUACCGGCAGACCUCACCAUCAACCAUGUUCAAGUAAUUGCUGGCCCCUCAGACCCGGCCAUUGUUUGCCGCGGAACCACUGUUGGAUUAAUUUUUAGCUUCCCUCGCGCGGCUCUUUGGAGAUAAUCUCCUCACCGGCUGUCGCUCCCAAUCUUCAGCUCAUCGACUCACCGUCGUGUUUCUUGUUUUCCCUCGUCGGUCGGCCUCGCCGUGGCUAAGUAUGUCCGUCGUGUUAUGUGCUUCGGUCUUUGGUCGCUGCCUCUUGCUCACCAUCCCCUAUUCGAUCUCGUCGUCAAGCUUCGCCUCAGCCUUAGCUCGUUGGUCACGCUCGUCAGAUGUGCGACCGAGGACUUCAGCUGAAGGCCGUCGUCAGGCAACUACCAAGUCGAGUUGUGAUGUGGUGCGAUAAUUAAUCACGUGAUGCGGAAGAUGACUCAAGUCGACCCCAAGCGCGGGCUACUCCGCAUGGAGAUGCUGAUGAAUGAACCUGCCUGAUCAAGUGUUAGGAAAAGGAUGAUCGUCAAGUGAUCGAUGUCUAACAAACACUAACCUAGUGUUUCUUCCAGGCAAGCCCCGGUGCAUUUGCCCCUUCCUUGUGUUUUAAAUGCUUUUUCACCUUAUCUGAUGCAUUAGGUGAUAGGAGUUGUGUGAUAAACAAUUGAUGCAUUACCAUUCCUUGGAAACUCCUUAAUCCCAGUUUUAUAAAAAGAACUGAUAAUGCUUAGCCCUGCUUAGAAACUGAAAAAUCAUUUGUUUUCAAAAAGAAUGAUUGUGGAACAUUGGUUAUGGGCCUUUCGUUUCAAAAAUCAAAGCAAACUUAUGGUGAUGAUUCCACUUCGGCCGGAGUGGGUUCAUCAUUUGGAAAAGAGUACCCCUGCCGGGUACCAAAAAUGGGAAAAUGGUUUGAAUACAUCUAGACCAGACGCUGAGCAGAUGUGGUCGCCCGUCUGUGUCAAUUAAGGAUCGUUCGAUGUAGGCCUGUUGUGGUGGAGACCUUGCAACUAGCCACAUGCUCCGGUAAGCCUGAACCCGGCUAUUCCAUACGUGAAAAGACAACCGCGCACUGGGCGUGGGAGAUGGUGGGAGUAGCGUGUA